rnacentral:rRNA from 1 species
UACGGAGGGAGCUAGCGUUAUUCGGAAUCACUGGGCGUAAAGGGUGCGUAGGCGGGUCUUUAAGUCAGGGGUGAAAUCCUGGAGCUCAACUCCAGAACUGCCUUUGAUACUGAAGAUCUUGAGUUCGGGAGAGGUGAGUGGAACUGCGAGUGUAGAGGUGAAAUUCGUAGAUAUUCGCAAGAACACCAGUGGCGAAGGCGGCUCACUGGCCCGAUACUGACGCUGAGGCACGAAAGCGUGGGGAGCAAACAGG